ACUCCCCUUCCUGGCGCUGAAGGUCGCCGGAGCUUUGGGGGGCUCCGGGGGGCGUCCGGAAUCGGAGGUCUUAACUCACCCCCGAGGAGUGAAUGGUUCAGGCCGCCCCGCCCCAUCCUGUCACUCACGGGUUGCUGUUGGACGCGCGCGCGCGGAACACAAGUCGCUAGGGCCGGGCUGCCGGCGCUGAGUCGUUCCGCGCAGAGUCCCCGGCUUGGGCUGGGGCUGGGGGCGGCCUUGGAACUUCCCGGGCUCGCGGGCUCCCGGAUUUCAGAGCUGCCAAUUCUGAUGUCCGGCGCGCGCCACCGGUGCCCUAGGGCCCCCGCAAAAGAGUCCAGGCCUGGGAGCAGGGGACGCUGAGGGUAACGACCGACGUCAGCGAGCCAAGAUGCUCAGGGAACCCUGGAGGCAGGGCCUGGCAAGCAGAGCACCCCUGCUGUCACCCAGGACUACAGAGAGCAUGAAGACCCCGGUGGAGCUGGCCAUCAGCGGGAUGCAGACCCUCCACGUUCAGCACCGCGGCCGGGGUGGCUACCGGGUCAAAGUUAGGCCAUCAUACGUGGAUGAGACUUUGUUUGGCAGCCCUGCAGGCAUACGGCCUGCACCACCAGACUUUGACCCACCAUGGAUGAAGAAGGCCAACAGAACCAGAGGAGUGGGGACAGGGGUGUCACAGGCCUUGGGGGCCAAUGGGAGCUGUGAGUCCACCUCUUCCAGUGGCAGCACCCCAACCCUCACACCAAGGAAGAAGAACAAAUACAGACUGAUCAGCCACACUCCUUCUUACUGCGAUGAGUCUCUCUUUGGCUCCCGACAGGAGGGCGCCGGCUGGGAGGCCAAGUGGAUGGCGAGGGGUGAUGCUGCAAAGCUCCACGCCCUCUUCUGGACACCCCCGGCUACCCCUAGGGGCAGCCAUUCUCCCCGCCCCAGGGAGACUCCAGUGCGAGCCAUUCACCCAGCUGACCUCUCAAAAACAGAGCACAGGGUAGUGGCCAGCUCCCGGAGGCUGUCCGUGGAUGGGUUAGACACUCCACGCCCUCUGAGGCGGGAGCGUUCCCACUCCCUCACCCACCUGAAUGUCCCCAGCACAGGUCACCCACCCGCCAGUAGCCCCUGCACAAAUGGGCCCCGAGAUCCCAGGCCUGCCCCAUCAGGGGUGACCUUCCGGAGCCCCCUAGUGACUCCCAGGGCUCGGUCAGUCAGUGUUUCAGUGCCAACUCCCCCCGGACAAGGUGGGGCUACCCAGAAAACAAAGCCCCCUUGGAAAUGAGUUUCUUGGUCCUUUCUACAGGUGUGCCCAUGGGGUCACAGCGAGGGGCAGAGUUUCAGAGAAUGGUGCUGGUGGGCAGGCCUCUGGGGAGAACACAAGGCAUUGGUGGAGCACUCCCGGGGACAGAGCGAGGGUGGGCAGUGCCCCCCCUCUGACCACCUCUGGUUGCUCCCUGCUUUCCCCACUGAUAUGGAUUGGAGGGUCAACCCUUGACAUACCUGUGUCCAGUCCUGUCAUGGCCACAUGGCGUAUCAGUGCCAACCCAGGGGGUGUCUCCCAGGAGGGUCCCCCAACUCCUCCAUCACACCCACAAUAUUGUCUCCCCACCAAGUGUGAAUACAUGGUAUGAUCGCCAACCUGGAGGGCUCUUCCUCCCUCCCUUCAAGCCAAGCUCCUGCUCAGGGUCAAGAAGCAAUAGCUAAGACUGGACAUGGAACAACUGACUGGUUCAAAAUUGGGAAAAGAGUAUGACAAGGCUGUAUAGUAUCACCCUGCUUAUUUAACUUAUAUACAGAGCACAUCAUGCGAAAUGCCAGGCUGGAUGAAUCACAAGUUGGAAUCAAGAUUGCCAGGGGAAAUAUCAAUAACCUCAGAUAUGCAGAUGAUACUGGCAGAAAGGGAAGAGGAACUAAAGAGCUUCUUGAGAGUAAAAGAGGAGAGUGAAAAGCCUGGCUUAAACUCAGCAUUCGAAAAAGCUAAGAUCAUGGCAUCUAGUCCCAUCACCUCAUGGCACAUAGAGGGGGGAAAAGUGGAAGCAGCGACAGAUUUUAUUUUCUUGGGCUCCAGGAUCACUUUGGACAGUGACUGCAGCCAUGAAAUUGAAGGAUUGGAAGAAAAAAGCUGCUCCUUGGAAGAAAAGUUAUGACAAACCUAGAUAGCAUAUUAAAACGCAGAGACAUCACUUUGCCAACAAAGGUCCAUCUAGUCAAAGCUAUGGUUUUUCCAGUAGUCCUGUAUGAAUGUGAGAGGUGGACCAUAAAGAAAGCUGAGCACCAAAAAAUUGAUGCUUUUGAGCUGUGGUGUUGGAGAAGACUCUUGAGAGUCCCUCGGACUGCAAGGAGAUCAAACCAGUCAAUCCUAAAGGAAAUCAAUCCUGACUAUUCAUUGGAAGGACGGAUGUUGAAACUGGAACUCCAAUGCUUUGUCCACCUGAUACGAAGAGCUGACUCAUUGGAAAGGACCCUGAUGCUGGGAAAGACUGAAGGCAGGAGAAGAGCAAUCACCAACUCAAUGGACAUGAGCUUGAGCAAGCUCCAGGAGUUGGUGAUGGACAGGGAAGCCUGGCAUGCAGCAGUCCAUGGGGUCACAAAGAGUUGGACACGACUUAGCGACUGAACUACAACACCAAAGUUCUUAAAAAGCAAAAUCCACAAUGAUUGGACUUUGCCCAAUUGAGGGGUCCAGUAAGACCACAAAGUUACACAUGGCACCUGGAGAGCAUUCAGGAUGGAGUCCUAACUGGUCAGGGCCCACCCUCCCCUGCUCUGCACUGUCCCAGGUCAGGCACCUUAGGAAGAACCGCAAAGCCUUUGCCCUGAUGGAGCUGCACCCAGAAUUGCAGCAUCCCAGUGGGUUGGGUGGAGGCCAGACUUCUGGCCUCUCCUUGUCCCCAUUUUCCCAUGAUGCACCUCCAGGAAGCACGGAGAUUCCAGACAGGCCAGCUGGAGGCCACAUCUUGGGUUCUAUCCCUCUACGCUGGGGGAAAAGAUGCGCAAACACUCCUGGGGAACUGUGGGAGGAGCCGACAGUGACUAGGACCAGGGGCCCAUGUGCAGAUGCCUUUGCAAGUCGGGUGGGCCAUGAGGGAAGCCAGCAAGCUGCGCCGUCAGCACAAACACAGCAUAUUAAACACGGAUGUUUAAAUUCCUAGAACUCUAACAGAAUGAGUACCCUCCCCUCAGUUUUACUUGAAGCUUUCAUUUGCCUUCAUCUCCUCCCCCUAUGUUUUAACAGACAUUGGCCACAAAUACCUCUUUCCUCCAAACUGUACUAAAAAAAAGGAAGCCACUGCCCAAGUAUGAUGA